AUCCAUCUGACGAAUCCUAAAUAGGACGAAACGCGCAUCCUGGAU
rnacentral:hammerhead_ribozyme from 1 species